GAUGAACGCUAGCGGCAGGCCUAACACAUGCAAGUCGAGGGAGAAGCCUUUCGGGGCAGAAACCGGCGCACGGGUGCGUAACGCGUAUGCAACCUACCUUUCACAGGGGGAUAGCCCGAAGAAAUUUGGAUUAAUACCCCAUAAUAUUGUUGGAUGGCAUCAUUUGGCAAUUAAAACUGCGGUGGUGAAAGAUGGGCAUGCGUCCUAUUAGCUAGUUGGAGUGGUAACGGCACCCCAAGGCUACGAUAGGUAGGGGUCCUGAGAGGGAGAUCCCCCACACUGGUACUGAGACAGGGACCAGACUCCUACGGGAGGCAGCAGUGAGGAAUAUUGGUCAAUGGUCGGAAGACUGAACCAGCCAUGCCGCGUGCAGGAAGAAUGCCUUAUGGGUUGUAAACUGCUUUUAUAUGGGAAGAAUAAGGUGUACGUGU
rnacentral:rRNA from 1 species